GGGGGCGUGGCGAAAUUGGUAGACGCACUGGAUUUAGGUUCCAGCGCCGCAAGGUGUGAGAGUUCGAGUCUCUCCGCCCCCA
rfam:Acinetobacter qingfengensis strain ANC 4671 Contig21, whole genome shotgun sequence.